CCUAUGGGUCCCUCUGGGGUCUCUAUGGGUCUCUUUGGGUCUCUCUAUGGGUCCCCAUGGGUCUCUAUGUGUCUCUAUGGGUCUGUAUGGGGUCUCCAUGGGGUCCCUAUGGGUCGCAGUGGGUGUGUAUGUGUCCCUAUGGGUCUCUAUGGGGUCUCUGUGGGGUCCCUAUGGGUCGCAGUGGGUCUGUAUGUGUCCCUAUGGGUAGCAGUGGGUGUGUAUGUGUCCCUAUGGGUCUCUAUGGGGUCUCUGUGGGGUCCCUAUGGGUCGCAGUGGGUCUGUAUGUGUCCCUAUGGGUAGCAGUGGGUGUGUAUGUGUCCCUAUGGGUCGCAGUGGGUCUGUAUGUGUCCCUAUGGGUCUCUAUGGGGUGUCUGUGGGGUCCCUAUGGGUCGCAGUGGGUGUGUAUGUGUCCCUAUGGGUCCCUAUGGGUCGCAGGGUGUGUAUGUGUCCCUAUGGGUCGCAGUGGGUCCCUAUGGGUCGCAGUGGGUCUGUAUGUGUCCCUAUGGGUCUGUAUGGGGUCUCCAUGGGGUCCCUAUGGGUCGCAGUGGGUCCCUAUGGGUUGCAGUGGGUGUGUAUGUGUCCCUAUGGGUCUGUAUGUGUCCCUAUGGGUCGCAGUGGGUCUCUAUGUGUCCCUAUGGGUCGCAGUGGGUCCCUAUGGGUCGCAGUGGGUCUGUAUGUGUCCCUAUGGGUAGCAGUGGGUCCCUAUGGGUCGCAGGGUGUGUAUGUGUCUCUAUGGGUCUCUGUGGGGUCUCUGUGGGGUCCCUAUGGGUUGCAGGGUGUGUGUAUGUGUCCCUAUGGGUCGCAGUGGGUCCCUAUGGGUCGCAGUGGGUGUGUAUGUGUCCCUAUGGGUCUCUAUGGGGUCUCUGUGGGGUCCCUAUGGGUCGCAGUGGGUCUGUAUGUGUCCCUAUGGGUAGCAGUGGGUGUGUAUGUGUCCCUAUGGGUCGCAGUGGGUCCCUAUGGGUCGCAGUGGGUCCCUAUGGGUCGCAGUGGGUCCCUAUGGGUCGCAGGGUGUGUAUAUGUCCCUAUGGGUCGCAGUGGGUCCCUAUGGGUCGCAGGGUGUGUAUGUGUCCCUAUGGGUCGCAGUGGGUCCCUAUGGGUCCCUGUGGGUGUGUAUGUGUCCCUAUGGGUCUGUAUGUGUCCCUAUGGGUCGCAGUGGGUCCCUAUGGGUUGCAGUGGGUCCCUAUGGGUCGCAGUGUGUGUGUAUGUGUCCCUAUGGGUCGCAGUGGGUCCCUAUGGGUCGCAGUGUAUGUGUCGCUAUGGGCUCAGUGCGCGGUGUGAGUGUGGUUCCGCUGUGGGUCAGAUGCAGCGCUGGGUGCGUUUCGGCCCCACGGAAUCGGACGCCGUCUGCGUGGGCUGCGCUGAGGGCUCCGUGGGGCGGCGCUGCCACAGCUGCCGGGACGGCUUCUUCCUCCUGCAGGGCGUCUGCGUGCCGUGA
rnacentral:lncRNA from 7 species